GACGAACGCUGGCGGCGUGCUUAACACAUGCAAGUCGAACGGUGAAGCGCCUUCCUUUUUGGUGGGUGUGGAUGAGUGGCGAACGGGUGAGUAACACGUGAGUAACCUGCCCCCUUCUUCUGGAUAACCGCAUGAAAGUGUUGCUAAUACGGGAUAUUCUGGGUCUGUCGCAUGAUGGGUCUGGGAAAGAUAUUGUUUCGGUGGGGGAUGGGCUCGCGGCCUAUCAGCUUGUUGGUGGGGUGAUGGCCUACCAAGGCGGUGACGGGUAGCCGGCCUGAGAGGGUGGACGGUCACACUGGGACUGAGACACGGCCCAGACUCCUACGGGAGGCAGCAGUGGGGAAUAUUGCACAAUGGGCGCAAGCCUGAUGCAGCGACGCCGCGUGAGGGAUGGAGGCCUUCGGGUUGUGAACCUCUUUCGCCAGUGAAGCAGGCCUGCCUCGUUUGUGGGUGGGUUGACGGUAGCUGGAUAAGAAGCGCCGGCUAACUACGUG
rnacentral:rRNA from 1 species